rnacentral:lncRNA from 1 species
CCCCACCUCUCGCGCGACGUCACGCGGCCGGGCCGGGCGGUGGCGGCGCGCGGGGAUGGAGCGGCUGCCGCUCGGCCGGGUAAAUUCUUGGUCCAUCUGGAAGUGUCUAGAGGCAAGGAAGGCCCGGAAUUUUUGCUUACAGCUCUGGAGGAGGAGUCUUCCCUUUCCACUGGCUUCCCCAGCACAUUUACUGGUGUGGCGUGUUCUCCUCAGGUGGUUCUGUAGCUGUCUGUCUGCCAGUGAGAGCUGGGUUUUGGCACGUGAAUUCACCAAGUGCAAGGUGUUUCUCAGGUCUUUCUCCUCUACAAAGAAGCUUUGUUGCCAAGACUUACUCUGA